ensembl:snoRNA SNORD33 Small nucleolar RNA Z195/SNORD33/SNORD32 family
GAUGUCUGUGAUGAAUUUCUGUGAUCCGAGAUUUCUCAAUGAGAAUACCUCACAUGCACUACCAUCUGAGACGUA